GAACGCUGGCGGCAUGCCUUACACAUGCAAGUCGGACGGGGGGUGGUGUUUCCGGUGGGGGACGGAUGGGUAACUGGGAAGAACCUACUCUUGGGAGGGGAAGGGGGCUGGAAGUGCUGCUAAUACCCCGUAGGCUGAGGAGAAAAAGGAGGAAUACACCGGAGGAGGGGCUCGCGUCUGAUUAGCUGGUGGGUGAGGGAAUAGCUUACCAAGGCGAUGAUCAGUGGCUGGACCGAGAGGAUGAUCAGCCUGACUGGGACUGAGACACCGCCCACACUCCUAAGGGAGGCAGCAGUGGGGAAUUUUCCUCAAUGGGCGAAAGCCUGACGGAUCAAUGCCGCGUGAAGGUAGAACGCCUACGGGUCAUGAACUUCUUUUCCCGGAAAAAAGGCAAUGACUGGAUCCGGGGAAUCAGCAUCGGCUAACUCUGUGCCAGCAGCCGCGCUAAGACAGAGGAUGCAAGCGUUAUCCAGAAUGAUUGGGCGUAAAGCGUCUGUAGGUGGCUUUUUAGGUUCGCCGUCCAAUCUCAGGGCUCAACCCUGGACAGGCGGUGGAAACUACCAAGCUGGAGUACAGGUAGGGGCAGAUGGAAUUUCCGGUGGAGCGGUGAAAUGCGUAGAGAUCGGAAAGAACACCAACGGGCGAACGCACUCUGCUGGGCCGACACUGACACUGAGAGACGAAAGCUAGGGGAGCGAAUGGGAUUAGAUACCCCAGUAGUCCUAGCCGUAAACGAUGGAUACUAGGCGCUGUGCGUAUCGACCCGUGCCAUGCUGUAGCUAACGCGUUAAGUAUCCCGCCUGGGGAGUACGUUCGCAGAAUGAAACUCAAGGAAUUGACGGGGGCCCGCACAAGCGGUGGGAGCAUGUGGUUUAAAUUCGAUGCAAUAGCCGAAGAAUCCUUACCAGGGCUUGACAUGCCGCGAAUCUCAUGAUAGAGAGGGUGCUUUCGGAACGCUGACACAGUGGUGCAUGCUGUCAUCAGCUCGUGACGUAAGUGU
rnacentral:rRNA from 1 species